rnacentral:lncRNA from 1 species
AUAGGCCACAUCGUGAACACAUCUAUUCGUUCGCGACCAUAGUCCAUCGUGUGUGUGAUUUUGUCUAGCUAUGUGUGUGAUAAUAAGGACUAUGUGUGUGUGUGUUUUCUCAGUGUCUCAAUAUGUUAUGGCCUAUCUAUCUGUGUAAGAUGGGAUUAAUUAAUGAAAUAUUGUGUUUGUAUUGUCAUUGAAGCAUUUCAUCAAAGUGUUCCCGAAAGCAAACCCUAAUCUAACCAAAACAGGAACCCACCCAUUUAAUCCCUAGUCUAUAGAUAUCAUAGCUGUUCUUUGUGCAAGAAA